rnacentral:rRNA from 1 species
UGGGGAAUAUUGCGCAAUGGGCGAAAGCCUGACGCAGCGACGCCGCGUGGGUGAAGAAGGCCUUCGGGUUGUAAAGCCCUGUCAGGGGGGACGAAGGGAAACUGACGGUACCCCCGGAGGAAGCCCCGGCAAACUACGUGCCAGCAGCCGCGGUAAAACGUAGGGGGCGAGCGUUGUCCGGAAUCAUUGGGCGUAAAGAGCACGUAGGCGGCCUGUUAAGUCGGAUGUGAAAACCCGCGGCUCAACCGCGGGACUGCAUUCGAAACUGGCAGGCUAGAGUCCAGUAGAGGAAAGUGGAAUUCCAAGUGUAGCGGUGAAAUGCGCAGAUAUUUGGAAGAACACCGGUGGCGAAGGCGGCUUUCUGGGCUGAGACUGACGCUGAGGUGCGAAAGCUAGGGGAGCGAACAGG